rnacentral:rRNA from 1 species
UGGGGAAUAUUGCACAAUGGACGCAAGCCUGAUGCAGCCAUGCCGCGUGUAUGAAGAAGGCCUUCGGGUUGUAAAGUACUUUCAGCGGGGAGGAAGGGAGUAAAGUUAAUACCUUUGCUCAUUGACGUUACCCGCAGAAGAAGCACCGGCUAACUCCGUGCCAGCAGCCGCGGUAAUACGGAGGGUGCAAGCGUUAAUCGGAAUUACUGGGCGUAAAGCGCACGCAGGCGGUUUGUUAAGUCAGAUGUGAAAUCCCCGGGCUCAACCUGGGAACUGCAUCUGAUACUGGCAAGCUUGAGUCUCGUAGAGGGGGGUAGAAUUCCAGGUGUAGCGGUGAAAUGCGUAGAGAUGUGGAGGAAUACCGGUGGCGAAGGCGGCCCCCUGGACAAAGACUGACGCUCAGGUGCGAAAGCGUGGGGAGCAAACAGG